GUCUAUGGCCAGGCCACCCUGAUCAAGCCUGAUGUCUGAUCUCAGAAGCUAAGCAGGGUUGGGCCUGGUUAGUACUUGGAUGGGAGACCACUUAGGAAAACCAGGUGCUGUAGGCA
rnacentral:rRNA from 1 species